rnacentral:rRNA from 1 species
GUGCCAGCAGCCGCGGUAAUACGUAGGUGGCAAGCGUUGUCCGGAUUUACUGGGCGUAAAGAGCGCGCAGGCGGUCGUACAAGUCGCGUGUGAAAGCCCCCGGCUCAACUGGGGAGGGUCACGCGAUACUGUUCGACUCGAAGGCAGGAGAGGGAAGCAGAAUUCCCGGUGUAGUGGUGAAAUGCGUAGAUAUCGGGAGGAAUACCAGUGGCGAAGGCGGCUUCCUGGCCUGUUCUUGACGCUGAGGCGCGAAAGCUAGGGUAGCAAACGGGAUUAGAUACCCCUGUAGUCC